CAGUCGGUUCUUUAAAGUAUGAUUAUCGAUCAAAUACCUGUAAUAUCAUGGAUUCUAUUCUCCGACACUGGGCGUUGAUCACUACGCUCGUCGUGGGUUCGUUACCGCACGAAGAACGCUCUCCAAACCGGGAGACUCCAUCGUCUUCUCCAACCUUUGCCUGCGAUGUUUACGGGACGUGUAUUUCCACGAGUCUGAGGACCUCUUGGGCUGCUCUGAUGUUCCGGGAAUCAAACACACGAGCGACUUUUGAAAUGGGACACCUCUUCGGCGUGCACCUUCCCUCGCGUCCUGGCGCGGCCCUGGUGGGGCUGAGGGGAGACAAGAAGAAGACGCCACGAGCGUGCACGGCGGAGAGUCUUUGAAGACAUCUGGGCAAACGACACUGCCGUGAGAUUGCCGGGGAUGUAACCAAUUGUACGUUUGUGGAUUUACAUUUUGGGAUGAUGCACACUGUCCUGUUUAUCAUUCAACUUUUGACGGUCUUAUUUUGUUUAAGUACGUUAGUGUCUCCAGUUGAAUAGUAGUAAGGUAAAAAGUGUAAAAUAUUAUUCAAGCAAAUCACAACAACGAAUAUUUACCUACUAUCAGAUCACUUUAGAAAACUGGAUGAGGUACGCAAUUCUGACAGUGUACUUUUUGAUGAAAUCGGACAGCUGAAUGACAAGCAGAAUCGUCUGCAGACGACAUAAGUUGACUCUUUCAGUAAUCUCAGGUUCUGUGGUGGCUUAUUUACAGUGGCUAUUUGAGGUGAUUUAACGCCCACAAGCGUUCUCUAUGAAAGUUAAGAAAUGUAUGCAGUUGCAAUUUUCAAUGCUCUAAAAUAGGCUGACAGCAGAGCACUAAACAUCAUACAGAAUUUUAAAAAGAGAAACACCAGAAGGACAAGCAUGCAAAAAACGUACGUUGUUUCUAUUUGGUUUGUUUGGAGAGGGGUGGUGAUGGAGUCUACAAAGGAACAAAUUCAAGCACCUGUUUCAAUAUCUUGCUUUGAAAUGCAUGAAAGAAACUCUGAGAUGAGACCAAAAAUGUGAACCACUGUCGCAAUUGGGGACAAUCUAUGAUUAAAGAUAUUUCUUUUUUCAAGUAGAAUAUCAUGGAAG